rnacentral:piRNA from 1 species
UGGUGAUGGAGCUACUAGGACCGAGC